rnacentral:rRNA from 1 species
UACGUAGGGGGCUAGCGUUGUCCGGAAUCAUUGGGCGUAAAGAGCGUGUAGGCGGUCCGGUAAGUCCGCUGUGAAAGUCGGGGGCUCAACCCUCGAAUGCCGGUGGAUACUGUCGGGCUAGAGUGCGGAAGAGGCGAGUGGAAUUCCUGGUGUAGCGGUGAAAUGCGCAGAUAUCAGGAGGAACACCUAUUGCGAAGGCAGCUCGCUGGGACGGUACUGACGCUGAGACGCGAAAGCGUGGGGAGCAAACAGG